GUUUCUUCCUGAGGUGCGCUGGGGCUGGGACCCGGUCUGCAGAAGGUCCAGGGGAUGGCGUCGGGGGAUUGAGGAGAGGAGACCAAGCCGGCCUUGCCUCCGGGACCAGCGCUUCCAAAUUCUCUGGGGCGUCCCGGCGCGCACACGCUCCUGAGGCCUCGGCGUUCUGAGGAAAGGGGCUGGCGUGGCGACCCGGGUCCUCGAGGCCGAGAUCUGGCUGUGGCCCGCGAAGCCCCGCUUGCCCGCGCCAGCGUCUUGUCACCCCGAGCCGAGGGCCUGCGCGCGGCCGACAGAUAUGGGAUGCUGGAGGACAUCUGGGGGCCACAAAUGCUCCUUCUCCUGGAGACGCAACUCAAGGUGAUCUCUUGCAGUUCUCAUGGAGUUUUCAUUGUCUCGUGCAAUGCCAUCGACCUUGAAUUUCAGCAUAGGACCCAUAUGAAGUGCCACUGUUAAUGCUGGGAGCACUCCAGGAAGCAGAGAAAAGUUAUGACAUUUCAAGAAAAAUCUGAAUUGCUUGAUAUGUUCCACAGAUUGAGGUCUGUACCUAUGGUUGCCCACUAUUUCAAUAGUCAGUGUAAGGACUAUUGU
rnacentral:lncRNA from 10 species